rnacentral:rRNA from 1 species
GGAAGUAAAAGUCGUAACAAGGUCUCCGUUGGUGAACCAGCGGAGGGAUCAUUACCGAGUUUACAACUCCCAAACCCCUGUGAACAUACCACUUGUUGCCUCGGCGGAUCAGCCCGCUCCCGGUAAAACGGGACGGCCCGCCAGAGGACCCCUAAACUCUGUUUCUAUAUGUAACUUCUGAGUAAAACCAUAAAUAAAUCAAAACUUUCAACAACGGAUCUCUUGGUUCUGGCAUCGAUGAAGAACGCAGCAAAAUGCGAUAAGUAAUGUGAAUUGCAGAAUUCAGUGAAUCAUCGAAUCUUUGAACGCACAUUGCGCCCGCCAGUAUUCUGGCGGGCAUGCCUGUUCGAGCGUCAUUUCAACCCUCAAGCACAGCUUGGUGUUGGGACUCGCGUUAAUUCGCGUUCCCCAAAUUGAUUGGCGGUCACGUCGAGCUUCCAUAGCGUAGUAGUAAAACCCUCGUUACUGGUAAUCGUCGCGGCCACGCCGUUAAACCCCAACUUCUGAAUGUUGACCUCGGAUCAGGUAGGAAUACCCGCUGAACUUAAGCAUAUC